UACGUAGGCAGCGAGCGUUGUUCGGAGUUACUGGGCGUAAAGCGUGCGUAGGCGGUGUCUUAAGUUUGUUGUGAAAUCUCCCGGCUUAACCGGGAGGGUGCGGCGAAUACUGAGAUGCUGGAGUGCGGGAGAGGUAAGCGGAAUUCCUGGUGUAGCGGUGAAAUGCGUAGAUAUCAGGAGGAACACCUGCGGUGUAGACGGCUUACUGGACCGUAACUGACGCUGAGGCACGAAAGCCAGGGGAGCAAACGGG
rnacentral:rRNA from 1 species